rnacentral:lncRNA from 1 species
CCAUGUCUUCAGUCGACUCUGUUAUCUCUUUGUGGCUCUUCCAUUUGUUUUGAGGACCUUCUUCUUCUUCUUCUUCUUCUCUUCUUUCAAUCAUCCAUUCAAUAAGAUUUCCCCCGGAAUUUCAGGGCUUUCAUUUUUCACAAAUCCCUCUUGCCUCCAUUCUGAAUUCCAUAUCCCCCUCUGUUUUUCCAAUUCAUGGCCACUCUUUGAUUUCUCUUUCCUUCACCAAUCUUCGUCCGCCCCCGCCCCGGAGCAUUUCCACCCUCUUCCAUGGAGGUAUAAUGAAAACUCAGAAUUUGAACCUAACCCACUCUCAUUUUCUGACCAAAGAUCAGUAGUUUCAUCGUUCAGGCGUUCUGUUGAUUGUUUUUCAUCUGGGUUUUCUGUUCCUAUGCAAAAAAGCUUGUUUGAACCUGACCCACUCUCAUUUUCUGACCAAAGAUUCAGUAUUUUCAUCGUUCAGGAGUUAUGUUGAUUGU